rnacentral:rRNA from 1 species
CAGCCGCCGCGGUAAUACGGAGGGUGCAAGCGUUAAUCGGAAUUACUGGGCGUAAAGCGCACGCAGGCGGUUUGUUAAGUCAGAUGUGAAAUCCCCGGGCUCAACCUGGGAACUGCAUUUGAAACUGGCAAGCUAGAGUCUCGUAGAGGGGGGUAGAAUUCCAGGUGUAGCGGUGAAAUGCGUAGAGAUCUGGAGGAAUACCGGUGGCGAAGGCGGCCCCCUGGACGAAGACUGACGCUCAGGUGCGAAAGCGUGGGGAGCAAACAGGAUUAGAUACCCGUGUAGUCCCUGUCUCUUAUAC